rnacentral:misc_RNA from 1 species
AAAGUCGUAACAAGGUAACCGUAGGUGAACCUGCGGUUGGAUCAUUAAAAAGUAUCCAAAUACGUUCUCGGUCACGCGUGAAUGCCUUUGUUGCUUACGCACGAAGGCACUCUGCUGACAGAGGUAAACGUGCCACAUUUUGUCAAUUGUAUUGUCUUUGGUGGGUGGACGGGGUCUUUCUUUGUGAACGCUCUCUGUCUGUCAGCUCGGAUGUUCUGCAUCUGGGCCGUGGACAACCCACCAAUCAACCUGCAUAAACAUUUUUUUAUUUUUUUGUCUGACAUUUUUAUUUGUAUCAAUAUACAAACAACUUUUGGCAACGGAUCUCUUGGCUCUC